CUACGGGUGGCUGCAGUGGGGAAUAUUGGACAAUGGGCGCAAGCCUGAUCCAGCAAUGCCGCGUGUGUGAAGAAGGCCUCCGGGUUGUAAAGCACUUUCAGUUAGGAAGAAGAGCUUAAGUUUAAGAGAUAUAAGCAAUGACGUUACUAACAGAAGAAGCACCGGCUAACUCUGUGCCAGCAGCCGCGGUAAUACAGAGGGUGCAAGCGUUAAUCGGAGUUACUGGGCGUAAAGAGUGCGUAGGCGGUACGGUAAGUUAGAUGUGAAAUCCCCGGGCUUAACCUGGGAACUGCAUUUAAUACUGCCGAACUAGAGUCUAGGAGAGGGGGGUGGAAUUUCCAGUGUAGCGGUGAAAUGCGUAGAUAUUGGAAGGAACACCAGUGGCGAAGGCGGCUCCCUGGCCUAAGACUGACGCUGAGGCACGAAAGCGUGGGUAGCGAACAGGAUUAGAUACCCGGGUAGUC
rnacentral:rRNA from 1 species